rnacentral:rRNA from 1 species
UACGUAGGUGGCAAGCGUUGUCCGGAUUUAUUGGGUUUAAAGGGUGCGUAGGCGGCCCCAUAAGUCAGUGGUGAAAUACGGCAGCUCAACUGUCGAGGUGCCAUUGAUACUGUGGGGCUUGAGUACAGACGAGGUAGGCGGAAUUGACGGUGUAGCGGUGAAAUGCUUAGAUAUCGUCAAGAACACCGAUAGCGAAGGCAGCUUACUAGGCUGUAACUGACGCUGAGGCACGAAAGUGUGGGGAUCAAACAGG